rnacentral:rRNA from 1 species
AUUGAACGCUGGCGGCAGGCUUAACACAUGCAAGUCGAGCGGGGUGAUGGUGCUUGCACUAUCACUUAGCGGCGGACGGGUGAGUAAUGCUUAGGAAUCUGCCUAUUAGUGGGGGACAACAUCUCGAAAGGGAUGCUAAUACCGCAUACGUCCUACGGGAGAAAGCAGGGGAUCACUUGUGACCUUGCGCUAAUAGAUGAGCCUAAGUCGGAUUAGGUAGGUGGUGGGGUAAAGGCCUACCAAGGCGAUGACGGGUAGCUGGACUGAGAGGUUGGUCAGCCACAAUAGCACUGAGAUACGGGCUAUACAUCUACGGAUGGCAGCAACCGGGAAUAUUGCGCAAUGGACGAAAGUCUGACGCAGCGACUCCGCGUGGGGGAUGAAGGUUUUCGGAUCGUAAACCCCUUUUGACAAUGAAGCCGAGGUCGCAAGACCAAGGGACGGUAAUUGUAGAAUAAGCAUCUGCUAACUAUGUGCCAGCCGCCGCCGUAA